rnacentral:rRNA from 1 species
UACGUAGGGUGCGAGCGUUGUCCGGAAUUAUUGGGCGUAAAGGGCGCGUAGGCGGCCUGGCAAGUGGGAGGUGAAAUCCCUCGGCUUAACCGAGGAACUGCCCUCCAAACUGCUUGGCUUGAGUCCGGGAGAGGUGAGUGGAAUUCCCAGUGUAGCGGUGAAAUGCGUAGAUAUUGGGAGGAACACCAGUGGCGAAGGCGGCUCACUGGACCGGAACUGACGCUGAGGCGCGAAAGCGUGGGGAGCAAACGGG